rnacentral:rRNA from 1 species
GACGAAGGAUCCAAGCGUUAUCCGGAUUUAUUGGGUUUAAAAGGUGCGUAGGCGGAUUGAUAAGUCAGCGGUGAAAUCCCUCGGCUUAACCGAGGAACUGCCGUUGAUACUGUCAAUCUUGAUGUACAUUUGAUGUGGGCGGAAUGUGUCAUGUAGCGGUGAAAUGCUUAGAUAUGACACAGAACACCGAUUGCGAAGGCAGCUCACAAAACUGUAAACUGACGCUGAGGCACGAAAGCGUGGGUAUCAAACAGG